AUUGAACGCUGGCGGCAGGCCUAACACAUGCAAGUCGAGCGAGCGGCGGACGAGUGCGUAAUGACUGGGAGUUGCCCGGUCGAGGGUGAUAACAGUUGGAAACGAACCCUAAUCCCCCAUACGAUCGGAUUGCCCAGGUGGUAUUAGCUAGUUGGUGAGGUAAAGGCUCAACAAGGCGACGAUCCCUAGCUGGUCUGAGAGGAUGAUCAGCCACACUGGAACUGAGACACGGCCCAGACUCCUACGGGAGGCAGCAGUGGGGAAUAUUGCACAAUGGGGGAAAGCCUGAUGCAGCCAUGCCGCGUGUGUGAAGAAGGCCUUAGGGUUGUAAAGCACUUUCAGCGAGGAGGCGUUACUCGCAGAAGAAGCACCGGCUAACUCCGUGCCAGCAGCCGCGGUAAUUC
rnacentral:rRNA from 1 species